AUUGAACGCUGGCGGCAUGCCUUACACAUGCAAGUCGAACGGUAACGCGGGGCAACCUGGCGACGAGUGGCGAACGGGUGAGUAAUAUAUCGGAACGUGCCCAGUUGUGGGGGAUAACUGCUCGAAAGAGCAGCUAAUACCGCAUACGACCCGAGGGUGAAAGCGGGGGAUCGUAAGACCUCGCGCAAUUGGAGCGGCCGAUACCUGAUUAGGUAGUUGGUGGGGUAAAGGCUCACCAAGCCAACGAUCUGGAGCUGGUCUGAGAGGACGACCGGCCACGCUGGGACUGAGACACGGCCCAGACGCCUACGGGAGGCAGCAGUGGGGAAUUUUUGACAAUUGGAGCAAGCCUGAUCCAGCCAUGCCGCGGGUGUGAAGAAGGCCUUCGGGUUGUAAAGCACUUUCAGUAGGGAGGAAGGGUGUUGUGUUAAUAGCACAGCAUUUUGGCGUUACCUACGGAAGAAGCACCGGCUAACUCUGUGCCAGCAGCCGCAGUAA
rnacentral:rRNA from 1 species